rnacentral:lncRNA from 1 species
ACUCUGAUCUGACGUACGUAAUAGACAAUGAGGUCCGCAGACUCUCAAGAAAACCAGAAAUUCCGUCGUUUUUAAGGAAUUCAUGCAUUAGGUCGCCCAAACCACCAAGACUUUUUAUGUUCAUAAAGAGACACAAGAAUCCCGUUGAGGCACAACCAGUGGUGGAAAAAACUACAGCACUGACAUAUCUUUUAGAGAAGAAGCUAGCAAAGUGGUGUAAUAAUAAACUUAAUGAUUAUGAAUAUACGACUGUAUCAUCCAAAAACUUGAUUGACAAUCUUUUGGAGGUGGGCCUUGCCCGAACAAGUUAUGCAGAUAUAUGACUUCAAAGCCUUAUACCCUUCAGUUAAACUUGAACCGGCAUGCUUGUUCCUGUACA